rnacentral:tRNA from 1 species
GGAUGUGGCUCAAGCGGUAGGCGCGCUUGCCUGGCAUGCAUGCGGCCUGGGUUCGAUCCUCAGUACCA